UUCUCAAAUAACUUACUGAUAUAACAAAAAUAUAACUUUAUAACUUGCGUCUAUGUAACGAAUAUAGUAUAGCUGAGAUUUUAUAAUUUGAAUUUUUCUAUUUUAGAUAUACAAAAUUUUACUCUAAAUUAAAGCAAGAGAACUACAAACAAUUAAUUAAAGGGUCUCGAGUCUCAACUACCUACUUAAACUAGUCAUUCAUACUCAAGCUAUCAAAUGAGUUGACAUUUUACUAUUUUAGUUAUAACUUGUUAUUGGUAUCGACGAACUUCAAAGAAAAGUAUAUUUGCUCCUUUGCUGCAACUUGUAAUUGGUAUUGACAAACUUCAAAUGAAAGUGUCUUUGCUCCUUUGCUGCUUCUACUUCUUUUUCUCCUUCUUGUACACCGGCUUCCAAAAAUGAUUGUCGAACUGUAACAUAUCAACCUCUGUAAUUUUUAUAUUGUUGGCAUAGCAAAUAAUAAAAUUCAAUCACCAUUAAUUGGUUAAUAAAACAAGAAAGUACAAUACGAACGAAUCUUUCUUUAUUGUACUUCCAUCCGCUAAACUUGGUAGAAAUGAUGGCUUGCAAGAGCAAUUUAUAGCAGUAAUUAUCACAAAUAACAUCUAGAAGACCGUAACAACAAAAUAUAAUUGAACAAAAAUGAUUUUUCCUAAAAUGCACUGGAAAACAAUUCAUAUCUAGUUUUAAAGGUAGAACUGUGCAUGUUCAAACUUCAUAUUCAUCUAUGUCUGAAGUUGUAACUUCACCCCAAUUUUUCAACUCUAAUGUGUGAACACACACACAUGUAUGUAUAUGAAUAUAUAUAUAUAUAUGUGUGUGUGUGUGUGUGUGUGUGUGGUGUUGUUGAUUGUAUGUACUAUGUAGGUAUAUAUAUAUGUGUGUGUGUGGUGUUGUUGGGUGUAUGUACUAUGUAGGUAUAUAUAUGUAUGGGUGUGUGUGGUGUUGUUGGUUGUAUGUACUAUGUAGGUAUAUAUAUGUGUGUGUGUGUGGUGUUGUUGGGUGUAUGUACUAUGUAGGUAUAUAUAUGUAUGGGUGUGUGUGGUGUUGUUGGUUGUAUGUACUAUGUAGGUAUAUAUAUGUAUGGGUGUGUGUGGUGUUGUUGGUUGUAAUAUAACAUAAGUAUCUAUUAUGUAAAAGGAUAAAAAAACACAGGUUUAAUACUAAAUAUGCUUCGUAAAGUAUCACAAUGAACAACAUUAGAAUUCAUUUCAUUGAAUGAUCAAAGUUAAAUAUGCCUUUAAACUUUGUGAGAGGAAUUACCGAUAAGAAGCUAAAUUUACAUAGGAAUAUAUAAUCUCGGAAUUCAAGUAUGGAAUUUUUGGCCCAUGAUUUUCUCUUUACUUGUUUUUUCCACAGUUGAACCGAAAAUACACUUGUCCAUAAAUUUUCUUGCAAAUAAAAGUACGUUCUUUUAUUUUAAAAUACUCACAAUUUAUAUGUUCAAACGCCCUAAAUUCCUGAAGUCUUUUGGAAAAACAAUUUUAAAUAUACUAAAAACAGCAUCUUCUAGCGGGAGGAGGGAUCAAUUGAAAAAUCACCAUUACCGCGUUAUAUAAAACUAAAUACUUAAGCAGGAGUAGCUUCCUAGGAAGCUUCAUCGCAACCUUUUUCUUUCCUAUUUAUAUGUCAAAAAAAUCAGUUACCAUCAUCAUAUCUUAUUCUGUCUGAUUCUUUAAGUGUCAGGAUCAUAGUGAUCUUUCCUAGUAUUUUAUAAUAAAUCCAGAAAAAAAAAAAUAGUGUGCACGUACGGCGAUAGUGCUGAUCAAAGGCAAGGAUGAUGGAGGUGGAUCAUGAAGAUAAUGGAUCAGACAUUGAAGCUCAGCGGAGUUCCCCGCAGUUAAUGAAUGGUGAAUUGGGUAAAUCUAGUUUGAUCAUGAGGAAGUCGGCCAUCAUUUUCCAAUCUACUUACAAGUUCAUUGAAGCUGGAGCAAAAAUAGCGUCUCUUUCACGAGUCUCAUCGUCUUCCUCAUCUUCCAGCACAACCUUUUAUACUCCUCUUCCCAGCUUUAAACAUGGAGUAUGUAUAUAUAAUUUAAAAACAUAUAUAUGUAUAUAGUUUAAGUUAUAUUGAUGAUAUUAAUUAUAUAUAUAUGCUCUAUGUCUAAUCAGGAUGCGGAAGGUGGUGGAGGUGAAAUCCAGGUUGUUGAAAUUGUGGCUGAUGAUAAUACUGUACAAUCAAACAAUGAGAUUGAGCUUCAGCCUGAUGAUCAGAGUACUCAUCAGCAAUGCUUAAAAAUUAGUGAAGAGAUUGUGAAGGAGAAAAAGUUGGAUUGGAGUGAUGCUCAUGAUGUUGACAAGGGAAUUCAUGUUGCAGACAAUUCUGGUCGUUACAUGCUGAUCUAUGCCCAGUUCAUGAUCCGACAACUGAUAUGUAAGGAACCAACUAUUUUGCUCCUUGCAAUUGCUGCAAUAUUGUCGUUUAUCUUUGGAAUCAAAGAAGAAGGUGUGCAUAAUGGUUGGUUUGAAGGAGCACUUCUGGUUGUGAUUAUAUUUGUGAUUGUUUCGUUUAAGCUAGCACGUAAUUGGUACAAAAGACACAUUUGGAAUAAGCAAAAUGAGAACAGAGCAAGGAAGGACCAGCCGUUUAUUUCUGAAACGGACUCCAGUUUUUGUGCCGACUUUGACAAGUUGAACAAUUACAUACAUAUUAGUGGGCUGUCCAUUGGCAUUUUGAUCACUGUGGUGCUGUUCAUUCGCUUUAAAUUGGGCUAUAAAGAUGAUGAGAACGGAUAUAGAUUGGAAACCAAGGAAGAACCAACUGAAAUUGCACGGAUAAUGAAUGCCGUGAAGAAGGUUUUGACAGAAUCAAAGGGAGCAGUGAGAGUUAUGAUAACUUCUCUUGGUAUCACACUGGUGGGGAUUACUGAAGGAGUACCAUUUCUUAUUUCAAUUGCAAGGGCAUACUGGUAUCCAAUUUUUGAUGUUAAGAUGGAACCAGUCAACACCAUCUGUAUAGAAAAAAUUAGAUGGUUGAAAGUUACCCAGUUUCUUCUUGACAAAAAAGAUGUUACCAAGAUGUUAGCUGGUGGAAAGAGUUGAAAGUUACCCAGUUUCUUCUUGACAAAAAAGAUGUUACCAAGAUACCGCCACAUGUCUACAGUGUUCUCUCUGAUGGAAUUGGUGUGUCCCCUCUGACUUCUCAAACAGCCUACCACAGAGUAGAAGAAGCAAUACUCUGUUGGGCAGAAAAGAACACGGGUAUGCAGAGAGACACUUUGGAUAAGCAGUUCACCAUAGUGAAGAACAACGAUGAUGAGAUGAAUCCUUUUGAAGGACCUUGUAAAGUAGUCAUAGAGAAAAAUGGAGAUAAUGGGAAAGAGUACUAUUCAUAUUUCAAGGGUCCUACUGAUUCAAUAUUGCCAAUGUGUUCAAGUUACUAUGACUUGACGGGUCAAGUGCAGGAUUUGGAUGACGAAACAAAGAGUGACAUUGUUCAAACUAACAACAACAACAACAUGAACGUAGUUGCAUUUGCCUUCAAACACAGUCAGGACGUUGUUGAACUUGAUGAAAAUGGCCUAACAUUCAUUGGUAUGUUUGUCUUAGAAUAUACUUUCAAUCUAGACAACACGAGGAAAGCAAUUGCGAUUCUGAAAGAAGGCGGAGUGAAGAUGAUAUUUGCCUCAGAAGAAGAUGUUGAAGUGCUUCGUACCAUUGUUGAUGAAACAGGAUUGCUCAACUCACAUGAAGCUCUAGUAGUUAGGGGUGAAGAUGCUACAAAGGAAAAUGUUGAUAAAAUGUGCAUUAUGGGAAAUUCCUCUCCCGCAUGCAUGCUUCUUUUAAUAGAGCAAUUGAAGAAAAGAGGAGAAGUUGUGGCUGUGGUAGGAGAACAAGCAUCUGAAAGUAAUGUGGUUCUUGAAGCAGCUCAUUUUGGCCUGCCUGUGGUGACUAACUGGCCUGAAACUAUAACUUAUGUGAUUAACAGCAUCAAGGGAGGAAGAAUUGUUGUGAGUAUAUGAGGCAGUUCAUCCAAGUUGAGAUAAUCUUUGCAAUCAGUAGCUUAUUAAUAAACUUCAUACUGGUUAUAUUAGACGGAGAUGGUCCGUUAACAGUCAUUCAGUUGGUAUGGGUUAACCUUCUUGUAAAAUUUAUUGGAGGGCCAGCUUUGCUAAUUACUCAGCAGGCCACAAGACAACUAAGGGAUGAGCUUUCUAUCAGACCAAGAAAACUGCCAAUUACCAAGUGCAUGUUGAGAAACAUACUUCUUCAAGUUUCUUAUCAGACUGGUAUUUUUGUAUUCCUUCAACACAGAGGAAGUGCAAUACUGGGGAUCACUCCAAAAGUUAACAGAUCUAUAGUCUUUAACGGGUUCGCUCUGUGCCAGCUUUUUAACAUAUUCAGUGCAAGGGAUUUGGAGCAGAGGAAUUAUUUCAAAGGUCUCGGUCAAAAUUACUUGUUUUGGGCAUUGUCUGGGCUCUAUCUUGUGUUGCAGUUUGGAUUCAUUGAAUUAGAGGCUUUCUUGUUUAGCAACACGGCACGACUGAAUUGGAAGCAAUGGGCUGAAUCCAUUUUAAUUGGAGUUGUUACAUGGUUGCUUGAUGUGAUAGUAAAAUGGGCAUCACAACACAUAAAGAUAGACACAUAUUGUGAUUGUGGAGUUCUUCACCUAGCUAGAAACUGGUUACAGUGUUGGUUUAUGAGGAUCAAUUGCUGUUACUGUGGACCAAGAAGUACACCAAAUCCAACUCUUGCUUCCUUGGAUUCUUCAAGAUACACUAGCGGAAAGGUAUUAUAAAAAUUUGUCCAUACAGCCUAAUUACAGUACAGUUCAAUCAACAGUCUUUCCUAAAAUUUUGGAUUCAAGUUGUAGUUGUUGUUCGUUUGCAGGGCUGGAUAACAAGUAUUACACGUCGUGUUAAACCAACCAAGCAUAGAGCUAAUACUUUGAUGGAUUAAUCAUAUGUUUCAGUAGCUUCAAUUUUUAGUACAUAGUUUCCUCUGUUUUCUAUAGAAGGUUAGAUAUAGUUGGAGCAACACUAAAGUUGUCUCAAUGUGACCGGUAGGUUAUGGGUUAGAGCAGUUAUGAAAUCAGCCUUUGAUGCUUGUAUGAGGGUAGGUUGCCUACAUCACACCCUUCAAGGGUCUCAGGCCUACGUCAAUGAGGGAUGAUUAGUGCACUAGGCUAUCCUUUUUAGUUAAUUUAUGUUAAUUAAUUUCAUCAAGUUUUUCGGUUCUUGUUCUUGUUCCUCUUCACUUUUAACUAAAUUCAAGAAUGUAAACUUAUUAUAUAGUACUACUCCCUCAAUCCCUUUGUAUGUCACAUUUUUAAUUUUUUACUUUGUAUUUGUAUUAAAAAAUGAAGUAACUUUAUCCUUAUUUAAUGUUUUCUUAAAUCAACUCUAUAAUAAAUGAUGAAUACAUUUUCAAGAUUAAUUAACUAUUCCAUCAAGGGUAUAAUAGGAAAAAUAUGAUAAAUUUAUGCAUAAAUUUUAUAAAAUGACAAGUAUUGUGGUCCAGCUAUUUAUAGAAAGGAAUGUCAUAUAAAAAUGGACGGAGGGAGUAAUAUACGUAGAAAGCAAGAAUUUUAUGAAUUUCAAACACAGCGAAGUUUGCUCAAAAUCAUAAAGCAAACUAGUGAGUACACAUUCUACUAAUUAAUUGGCUUGUUCAAGAAGAUAAAUAUUUCCAAUAUCAUAUAGUAUAUGCAAAAAUAUAACUUAAUUACCUCGAUCUUGUUUUUCUCAAACUUGGUGAAAUGUAAUAGACAAAGCUCUUGUUGAGGAGAAACUGACAAGCCGGGAAUGCCAUUGGAAGAGACUUUUCUUCAGCGAAGUCAACUGCCUGUGGUCGUUUCUUUACUAUAUAAAAAAUAAAAAACAAACCUCACAAAUAUCCUAACAUGGAUUUUAUAAGAAUAUUUUUCUUUAAUUUUGGACACAUUUGUCUUUUAUCAAACGUGUCUUCAAUAAAUAUUCAUGUGUGAGUAGGUAAUGUAGAAAUGUUACUUUAUCUAUUUCAAUUUAUGUUACUAAAAACUUUUUAGUUAGUUCUGAAAAUAAUAAUAGUUACUUUUUUUAUAGAUAUUUUGAAAUAAUUUAACUUCUAAAUUUUUUUUUUAAAAAAGAGAGAGAAUAAUUUAUAAUCAUAGAAAUAUGUAUGAUUAACUUUAAAAGUCAUUUGAAAUUCAUUUGUGAGUAGAUAAUCUUGAAAAGGUUACCAUAAGGAAUUUGUUACUCCAUCUAUUACAAUUUAUUAAUGUUACAAUUUUUUUAAGCUAGACCUGAAAAUAAUAAUAGUAUUGAUACAAAAAUUUAAGUUGAAUGAUUUUAUAGAUAUAAAAGCUUAAUUGAGUGGGUUUUUUGAUACAAAAUAAAGUUCAAUGAUUUUGCUAGACAAAUUCUUGAAGUUGAGUGAACUUUUGAGAUAUUAACUCUAGAAAACAUGUGACUACUCGUGUACAUUCAAAAUUAAUGGACAUAAAUAAGAACUAGAGCCAAGUUAAAGGAUACACUUAUAUAUUAUAUCAUUUGAUAAAAGUAAUUUUUAUUUCCGAAGUGAAAAAUAAUAUAUAAUUUUUUUUAUUUUAUUAAUUUAUAAAGUCUUCUCGAAAACAUUUUCUAACAUACCAAAAAGCAGCAUCUUCUAUAACAAAUUUUUUGUGUGUGUGUGGUGAUGGUGAGAUCAAUUUAAAAAUUGUCAAUAUUAACGCGUUAUAAAAAUUAAAGAGUGUAAGGGAAAAUUUGAAUUUGAACAAGAUGGGUGUUCACAUUCCGCAACACAAAGCUGAGGCCGGGAGUGAAUAACUAACCACUUGAGCAUUGGAGUACUGCAUGUCUAUUUGAACGGGUCACGAUUUAAUUCAUUUUCAAUUUCAGUAGUGCUGAUCAAAGCUAGGAUGAUGGAUGAAGAUAAUGGAUCAGACAUUGAAGCUCAGGGGAGUUCCCCGCUGCUAAUGAAUGGUAAUUCUACGUUGAUCAUGAGGAGGUUGGCUCUCAUUCUCCGAUCUACUUACAACUUCCAUUGAAGCUGGAGCAAGAAUACCAUCUCUUUCACGAGUCUCAUCGUCUACCUUAUCCUCCACCACAACCUUUUAUACUCCUCUUCCCUAAGUAUAUAAACAAAUGUCUUUAUCACUACUAUAUAUAUACACACACGUAGUUGUUAAUUAUACAUGCUCUCCGUCUAAUUAGGAUGCAGAAGGUGGUGAAGAUGAAAUCCAGGUUGUUGAAAUUGUGGCUGAUGAUAAUACUGUACAAUCAAACAAUGAUCACGUCGACAUUGAUCAAAGUACUCAUCAGCAAUGCCUACAAAUUAGUGAUUGUUUUGUUUAAGUUUGCACGAAAUAGGUACAAAAGACACCUUUGGAAGAAGCAAAAAGAUAACAAAGAAACGAAGAAUUACCCCCUGUUGAUUUCUGAAACGGACUCCAGCUUUUGUGCCUGUUUUGACAAGUUGAACAAUUAUAUACAUAUUAGUGGGUUGUUGAUUGGCAUUUUGAUCACUGUGGUGCUGUUCAUUCGCUUUAAAAUUGAGCCAUAAAGAUGACGAAAAUGGAUAUAGAUUAGAAACCAAGGAAGAACCAGCUGAAAUUGCACAGAAUAAUGAAUGCCGUGAAAAAGGUUUUAACAGAAUCAAAGGGAACAGUAAGAGUUUUGAUAACUUUACUUGGUGUCACACUGGUAGGGAUGACUGAAGGGGUACCAUUUCUUAUUUCAAUUACAAUGGCAUAUUGGUAUCCGAAUUUUGAUGUUAAAAUGGAAUCAGUCAGCACCCUCUGUAUAGAAAAUGUUGGCUGGUUGAAAGAGCAAAAACUGGAAGUUAGUCAGUUUUUCCUUGACAAAAUAAAUGUUACCAAGAUACCGCCAGAUGUCUGCAGUGUUCUCUCUGAUGGAAUUUGUGUGUCCACUCUGACUUCUCAAACAACUGACCAAAGAAUGGAAGAACCAAUACUCUGUUGGGCAGAGAAGAACAUGGGUAUGCAGAGAGACACUUUAGAUCAGCAGUUCAUAAUAGUGAAGGACAAUGAUAGUGAGAUGAAUCCUUUUGAAGGACCUUGUGGAGUUGUCAUAGAGAAAAAUGGAGAUAACGGGAAGGAGUACUAUUCACACUUCAAAGGACGGGCUGAUUCAAUAUUGUCAAUGUGUUCAAGUUACUAUGACAUGAAGGGAGAAGUGCAGGAUUUGGAUGAUGGAACAAAGAGUGACAUUGCUCAAACUAACAACAAGAACAAGAACGUAGUUGCAUUUGCCUUCAAACACACUCAGGACGUUGGUGAACUUGAUGAAAAUGGCCUAACAUUCAUUGGUAUGUUUGUCUUAGAAGAUAAUUUCAAUCUAGACAACAUGAGGCAAGGAAUUGAGAUUCUGAAAGAAGGUGGAGUGAAGAUGAUAUUUGCCUCGGAAGAAGAUGUUGAAGUGCUUCGUGCCAUUGGUGAUGAAACAGGAUUGCUCAACUCACAUAAUGCUCUAGUAGUUAAGCAUGAAGAUGCUACGAAGGAAAAUGUUGAGAAAAUUUGCAUUACGGGAAAUUCCUCUCCCGCACACAAGCUUCUUUUAAUAGAGCAGUUGAAGAAAAGAGGAGAAGUGGUGGCUGUGGUAGGAGAACAAGCAUUUGGAAGUAAUGUGGUUCUUGAAGCAGCUAAUUUUGGCCUGCCUGUGGUGACUAACUGGCCUGAAACUAUAACUUGUGUGAUUAACAGCAUCAAGGGAGGAAGAAUUGUUUGUGAGUAUAUGAGGCAGUUCAUUCAAGUUGAGAUAAUCUUUGCAAUCAGUAGCAUAUUAAUAAACUUCAUACUGGUUAUACUAGACGGAGAUGGCCCGUUAACAGUCAUUCAGUUGGUAUGGGUUAACCUUCUUGUAAAAUUUAUUGGAGGGCCAGCUUUGCUAAUUACUCAUCAGGCCAUAAGACAACUAAGGGAUGAGCUUUCUAUCAGACCAAGAAAACUACCAAUUACCAAGGGCAUGUUGAGAAACAUAAUUUUUCAAGCUUCUUAUCAGACUGUUAUUUUUGUAUGCCUUCCACACAGAGGAAGUGCAAUACUGGGAAUCACUGCGAAAGUUAACAUAUCUACUGUCUUUAACGGGUUUGCUCUGUGCCAGCUUUUUAACAUAUUCAGUGCAAGAGAUUUGGAGCAGAAGAAUUUUUUCAAAGGUCUUGGUUAAAAUUACUUGUUUUGGGCAUUGUCUUUGCUCUAUCUUGUGUUGCAGUUUGGAUUCAUUGAAUUAGAGGCUUUCUUGUUUAGCAACACGGCACGAUUGAAUUGGAAGCAAUGGGCUGAAUCCAUUUUAAUUGGAGCUGUUACAUGGUUGCUUGAUGUGAUAGUAAAAUGGGCAUCACAAUACAUAAAGAUAGACACAUAUUGUGAUUGUGGAGUUCUUCACCUAGCUAGAAACUGGUUCCAGUAUUGGUUUAUGAGGAUCAAUUGCUGUUACUGUGGACCAAGAAGUACACCAAAUCCAACUCUUGCUUCCUUGGAUUCUUCAAGAUCCACUAGCGGAAACGUAUUAUAAAAAUUUGUCCAUACAGCCUAAUUAUAGUACAGUUCAAACAAAAGUUUUUCCUAAAAUUUUGGAUUCAAGUUGUAGCUGUUGUUCUUUUGCAGGGCUGGCUAACAAAUAUCACACGUCGUGUUAAACCAACCAAGCAUAGAGCUAAUACUUUGAUGGAUUAAUCAUAUGUUUCAGUAGCUUCAAUUUUGAGUACAUAUUUUCCACUGUUUUCUAUUAGAUACACUUGGACCAACAAUAAAGUUGUUUCCACGCGACUGGUAGGUUAUGAGUUAGAGAUGUACUGGAAUCAGCCUCUGAUGCUUGUAUCAGGUAGGAUGCCUACAUCAUACCCUUCAAAGGCAUUGACCCUUCCCGGACCUACGUCAAUGAGGGAUGAUUAGUGCAGUAGGCUGUCCUUUUUAGUUAAUUUAUGUGAAUUAAUUUCAUCAAGUUUUUUGGUUCUUGUUCUUGUUCUUCUUUUUACUUUUAAUUUAAAUUCAAGAAUGCAAACUUAUUACUAUAUAGUACUAAUAUACAUAGAAAGCAAGAGUUUCAUGAAUUUCUAACACACAGAAGUUUGCUCAAAAUCAUAAAGCAAACUAGUGAGUACACAUUCUACUAAUUGGCUCGUACAAGAAGAUAAAUAUUUCCAAUAUCAUAAUUCAUAUAUAUGCAAAAAUAUAACUUAAUUACCUCGAUCUUAUUUUUCUCAAACUUGGUGUAAUGUAAUAGACAAAGCUCUUGUUGAGGAGAAAUUGACAAACCAGCAAUGCCAUUGGAAGAGAGUUUUCUUCAGCAAAGUCAACUGCCAGUGGUCGUUUCUUUACUAUAUAAAAAUAUAAAACAAAAUAUAUGGUCCUCACAAAUAUACCAACAUGGAUUUUAUAAGAAUAUUUUUCUUUAAUUUUGGACACAUUUGUCUUUUAUCAAA
rnacentral:lncRNA from 1 species